CGGAGUGUAGUAUAGUGGUAGUACGCGGGCUUCGGGAGUCCGUAGCGAGAGUUCGAUUCUCUCCACUCCGACAA
rnacentral:tRNA from 1 species